rnacentral:rRNA from 1 species
CCUUUAUGGAGCCAGCCGCCGAAGGUGGGGCAGAUGAUUGGGGUGAAGUCGUAACAAGGUAGCCGUAUCGGAAGGUGCGGCUGGAUCACCUCCUUU